rnacentral:tRNA from 1 species
GCUGGCGUAGCUCAGUGGUAGAGCAUAGCACUCAUAACGCUAAGGUCGCAGGUUCGAUCCCUGCCGCCAGCACCA